UUCAAUUCACCCCCCCUCUUGUGUUAGUCAUCUGGGCAACAGUAAGAAAAUCUUAAGCUCGCACAUUGUUUGAGGGAAAGGGAGGCCGCCAACAAAAAGGAAGGUUCCACCUUUGGAGAAGGCUGCAACAAAGCGAAAGAAGAAACCGACUUGUAGGAAAAUAUUUGAUGAAGCAUCACAUGAUUCAGAGGUCUCAGAAGCUCCAACAACUAAUCAGGUACACAGUGGAAGUAAGGAUGAUUUUGUUGUUCUAACAUAGUGCAGUACGUUUACCAACCCAACGCCAUCGAAAAAUGAGGAGAACUGAUGUUGUAGCUACUAGCAAGUAUUUAUGUAACUCUCAAUAUUUUGAGACUUGUGAAGUAAUUUGAUGUAAU